GCAACCGCAGAGUAGGCUGUGUGACAAUCGUCGCUAGGUGACAGCAGUAGGCAGUUCUUUGGCGCUGGCAACACUGGCCACAGUGGCGCCAUCCGGUUUGAGCAACACCAAACUGUCCAUCAAUCUUGGUUUGUUUCUUUUUGCAGCAAAGGCGAAUAGCUUCAAUUUUUCAAGAGUGCAGAGCGUCACCCAAAUAAAAAGUAGGUGUUUGCCUAGUGGCUCGAAGAAAAGUGGGAAAUUGCGCGAAAAAAAGUGUGAGCAGUGAGAAAGUCUUCAUUGGUGAGCAGUGAGCAAGAAAGGGAAGGAUUUAGGCGCCAUGUCGGACACCUACGAUGAGGAGUACGAGGAGACGCACACCGUCACGCGGAAGUCGGUGACCACCUUCAAGAUCGAGGAAACUUCCUCCUCGACCACUACCAAAACCAUCACCACACCCGCCAAGCUGUACGGCAAAGACAUCGGCGCGUACGACGAUGUCGACGUGGACGAGCUGCUGGCGCAGCUGUCGCCGGAGGAGAUCACCAUGCUGGCCAAGGAGGUCGAUCCGGAUGAUUCCUUCCUGCCACCGAGCCAGCGCACCAACUACGAGUGCGAGAAAGAGCCAACCGGACCGCUGGACCGGAAGAAGCUGAUCGAACACAUCAACAAACAGGCCAUGGAGACGCCGGAUAGGCCCGAGCUGGAACCGUACGUGCCGGGUUUGGUGCGCGGCAAGAAGUGGAUUCCGCCGCCGCAGGAGAAGCGCAUGCAGGAGGCGGAGGAUCAGAUCGCGAUCGACAUGGGCGACGAGUACGAGCAGGCGCUAUCGGACGCCACCCAGGAGGAAAUUAUCGAUCUGGCCGCCAUCCUGGGCUUCCACUCGAUGAUGAACCAGGACCAGUACCACGCGUCGCUGCUGAACAAGGGCCAGCCGGUGGGGCUCGGCUGGGACGGCAUCACCAAGUCGUCGAUCCAGAAGGUGUUCCCGGCGGAGGCGCCCAACCAGACGAACCCGGAGGAGAUGAUCAAGCGGAUCAAGGACGACGACAGCAAGCUGGUGGAUGUGAACCUGAACAAUAUUAAGAACAUCUCCGACGAGAACUUCGAGAAGCUGUUCGACGCGCUCGCCGCCAACACCCACCUGGAGGUGCUCUCGCUGACCAACGUGAACCUCACCGACCGGACCGCCCUGCUGCUCGCGGCCGCCAUCGAGCGCAACCACACGCUGCGCGUGCUGAACGUCGAGACGAACUUCAUCAGCCCGCCGGUGAUCGUGACGCUGGUCAAGUCCCUGCUCACCCAGAUGACGAUCGAGGAGUUCCGGGCCUCGAAUCAGCGAUCACAAGUGCUGGGCAACAAGAUCGAGAUGGAGAUCACGGACCUGGUGGAGAAGAACACCACCCUGCUGCGGCUAGGUCUGCAUCUGGAGUUCAACGACGCCCGCCACCGGGUGGCCGCCCAUCUGCAGCGCAACAUCGACAGAAUCCGUGUCGACAAGAAGGACGGUCGAUCGUCACGUGGCAGCUUCUACCGGCCGACGUCACGCGUCGAGGAACGGAUGGAGGAACUGGACGAGGUCGAGGAGGAGGAAGAGGAAGAGGAGGAGAUCCACGAGGUCCCGCAGGACUACGACGUGGAGGAAGAUCCGGACAACAUCGUGAUCCGCCCGCCGCCGUCCGACGACGAGGAUAUUAAGAAAAGAUUUGACGCAGCGUCUGCAGUUUAGAUUUUUCCAAAAUAUUCACAGAAAACAAGCGACUAUGAUACAGUGAAUCGCGCGAAAGCUCGUAGAUCACCUUACCGAGUGGCUAAGAACGUUAUUUAAGGAGAGAAAAAAAAGAGGUCGUGUUUUUUUUAAACUAUGAUAUCACUUUAAACUAACUUUGUAAAGUCACAGCAGCAGUGUUGAAAGUAAUUGUUUUUAGGGCAGAACUCUUUUCUAUCUUGGGAGGAACAGAUUGAAAAAAGGAAGAAGGUUUAAAUAUAAACUAAGUGUAAAAUAAAAGAAGAAAUGCGUUGGGUGAAGAGUUUUUUUUUCUACGUAUUUCUGAAGCCGUACUUUUUUUGAGCCCGUGCAGCAAAAGUUUUACGGAGGAAGUACGAGAGAGGAUAAAUAUUUUCUAGAGUUUUGUUGAGAGGUAGGGCGAGACAAAAAAAGAUGGGGGAGUUUUAUUAAUUGAUCGAAGGAGGAAGGAAGAAAAAAAAGUUUUUCUUUAAUUUCAAUGUUGAUACCUUCUUUGUGUGCGUGUAAACACAGUGUAGAAGUAAUAAAAGUCAAACAACGAGGAGUAAAAAAUUGCUGCAAUUAAAACUUUCUUUUUUUUUAUUUGCGUUACAAAAACACACUACCAGAGUUGUAAAAGAGUUAGUUAGCCAAAAGAGGAGGGAGAACGGAGCUUAAAAAUUGUUAGGUUAAGAAGUCAUCACUGAAUCUCAACCAUCGCAUCAAUCUACUGCUGGAGGAGCGACGUGACCAUUUCGACCGCCGCCAAGUUUGUUUCGUCCGGACCAGUUAAUCUCGUUCUCAAGUUUGUUUUGUAAACAUAUAUACACACACACAUCUUGUCCUGUUUUCUGUGUUGGCGCGAAAUGAUAGAGUUUAGGCAAUCAUCGGAGCUGUCAAAAUGUGUCAGUGUUGCCGGCGACGCCGAACUCAACAGAACCCGCAAAAAAUUGCCGUGAGCGUCGCACCGGCCGUGGUGGCAACACUGGCGGAUUCAUCCGUGGCUAGGUAAAAACGUAAGCUGGCAACCAUCACACACACACACGCAGGACAUAUUUCUAGCAAAGUUAAAAAAAAAUCGGUGCUUUUUGUGUCCCAGUGCAGCAAGAGAAAGAGAGAAAAAAAUGAAGAAGAAGAGAGAGUAUUGAAUAAUUUUAUCACACAUUUGACGAGACGAGUAUUUUUUUCUUUUAUUAUUUUUUGUUGUUAUUUUUAUUUAAACAAAAAGAGACUUUGUUCCCGCCUUGAGCCAAGCCAGCGCAGAUUCGAACAACGAUUUGGGGCGGAUCAAACCUCACAAACACACGUUUAUUUUAGUUUAUCAAAUGCGCCCCCUCCCUAUUAGUGUUUAGUGAAGAAGAAUGCUUACCAUUUAAGAGAAAAAAAGAUUCAAACACAAACACACACACGAUGAUUACCUAAACUCUUUUAUUUAUACGCAUAUAAACGAAUAUUCUAACUUUUAAAUCAAACAGAAAAAAAAACAAACUUUUACUUUUAAACAAAACAUCAACAAAAAAAGCAACACUUUUAAUUAGUUGGUAAAUUUCAUUGUAAACUAUGAUAGAGAAGAAGAAGAACAAGGAAACCAAGAGAAAGAAAACAAAAGAAAAUGUAUUCAUCACUGCGCGUACCAUUUGAAUUUUAACGUUGAAAGAAACACACUGCCUCGAAAAGUCGCUAGAGAAAGCUUCUAAAUUAUUGCAAAAUUAGAUUAAAAAAGAAGAACCUUGACCAUUGUGAUCACUUUUCGGCUUGAUUGAGCGGAACGACAUACAACCAUAAAAAAGGUGUAAUUUUUCCUCCGUAGUGAAGCUUUAUUUCAUCCUUCAUCGCCUAGCCCAUCAUCACAAAAGAAACAAGCAACGCUGAAUAUGUUUACGAAACUGUGGAAAAAUAAAAUAAAAUAUUUAAGACAAAUUAA